AUGGAUCCAGAGACUAAAAGUCUGCUUAGAAUUUCCAGAAUUCUAAAAGUACUUGAUGUCUGCAUCAGGAUUAAACCAUCUAGGUCCAGAACACACUGUAAAAUCACUCUCUGUUAUGUGAGAAUGACUAUGGCUAGUGAAAUAUGUCUAUUUCUAUAUACUAAAUAUAUAUACAUUCAUAUUUAUAUGAGUUGGUCAUUUCUUUUGGGGGGGGGAGAAAAAAUAGCUUUGUUGCUUUGCCAGGCAAAGGGGCACGGCAGGCUCCUGGCUUCAAAAACUAUGUGUCCCCAAGUUGGUCAUUUCAUGAUAGGAGAAGGUGGGGAUGUUGACUUCCACAUUCAACACAGAAAACAAGUUCACAUGUUUUCCAAAAAGCAAUACCUUACAGGUUGAAUUCCUUAUAAAGCACAGAGCUUGGUUUGUAUUCCAGCCCUGUACUCAUGGGUAAAUCCACAGAUUGCCCUGUAGUUCAGAGUUCAUGAGGAAAAUAGAGACUUUCUCCUGAAGUUUAAAAAGAGAGAAAUCUCAUACAUGGAAUUAAAUAUAGAAUUGCUAAAGAAUUGCAAGAGUAGGAAUUAGGAGACUGUCCCUGGAUUGAAGUCAAGAACAUUCCACUAUACUUGCAACCUAGAGAUAAGGGGAAAAGAAUUAGAAAGCAGUUGCUAUAUCCUCCACCACCACAGAACUGCCUCUCAACACUCAAUUCUGGAUGAUCUUGAUAACAGCAGAAAGAUGGCCUCUUUCUUACUCCUGCCUUCUAAAUCCAGCAGAAGGGCAUUUAACAGUGGGAAUUUAAUUUGCAUCAUGAACCCUAGCUGGAAGGAAGUCUAGGAAAUGUGGUAUUUAGCUUUCCAGCCUCUGGAGUAAUGAAGUUCCAUAGGAAGAAGUAGGAAUAGAUGCUGAGGGCCAAUUGAUCAUACACUGCAUCAUGAUAAGAAUAGCCAGCCUUUACGGAGCAUUCACCUUUUCUUGGGUACUCUGCCUAUUUUCUCUCACGUAAUCCCCACAGCAACAUUAUGAGGUAUAUGCUGUUUUUAUCUCUGAUUUACAGAUGAGGAAAUAAGCAUUGAGAACAUUAGUUAGCCUGCCCAGGAUAAUAUACCUUAAAAGCAGAAGUUCCAGGAUUCAAACCAGGCAAUCUAUCUCCAUUAACACCUAACCCUCCACGGAAUUGCCACUUAUAUAAUAGCUGACAUUUUGCCUUUCAUAUAACAGGCAACACUUUUCUACUGUUUCAUAGACUUAAAAGUACAAAACAAUUUACGAAAAAUUUAUCUCCAAGCAGAUGAGAAAUCUUCACAGGAAACUAAGACGUUGUUAGAAAGCCUUAGGGUGAGCAUGGAGUUAGUAUAGGAGGAUUUAAUCAAAUUAUCUAAUGAGCUUGCAUGAGUCAUUUGCAAUAACAUGAUAACCUCACCUCUACUAGAAAGGCGGACAUACCAUGAGGUCAUAAAUAGAUAUGGGUUGGUCAGGUGGGGAAUGUAGGAGAACUACUAAAAGUAACAAUUUGUGGAGUUCCCUGAUGGCUCAGCAGGCUAAGGAUCUGGCAUCGUCACUGUGGCAUGGAUCCCACUCUGUGGCAUGGGUUCAAUCCUGGCCUGGGAACGUCUUCAUGCCCUGCCAUGGCCAAAAAAUAAAAUAAAUUAACAAUUUUUUUAUUGUCCA
rnacentral:lncRNA from 1 species